UGCGGGUCUAGCCUGCAAUAAGCUUUCGAGAUGAGGAGUUGCUGGCCUCUAAGAGGUUUUCGCUGGCCGGGCGCCGCGCUCUGGGACACGUGGGUGCAGCCGGGCUCCGGACUCAGCGGCAACGGCCCCCGCCCGUGGAGGAGCGAGGAUGUUGCGGGAGAAUUGCCGGAGAUUUACCAAAGGGAAGAAGCCAAGGGGCUGCGGAGAAGCUGGUGACGGAAAUCUGGGACAAGAAAUCUGGGGCACAUCUUUUUGAAGGUGAGCACCUAUUGCAAUUGUGGAGUAUGAUGCCUGAAGGAGCAAUUUAAUCACUGACAAUGCUACAAUUCUCCUGUGUCUUUAAUGUCAAACUUCUAAAAUCUGACUAUCAACAUUGUAAUGAUUACAUUUUGAGAAAUAAAAUUUCAAUUUAUUUUUUUGAUACAGAAACACUUAUUCAAAAAUGUGUAUUUGGUGUACUUCUAAUUGCCUCAGAUCAGAUCAGAUCAGUUGCUCAGUCGUGUCCGACUCCUAAUUGCCUCAUUUUAUCAUUAUUCUCACUACCCUUGUGCUUAUCUUUUUAUACUUUCUCUUGUCUUAACAUCUGUUGCACUUCUUUUUAUACUUUCCAUGUACUCAAACACUUUGUUCCAAGUUUCCUAGGGACCUACUUCCUCAAACCUCCACCCUACUUACUUGACAC